AACUCUCUUCCACAACAUGACAC
rnacentral:snRNA from 1 species